AUACUUACCUGACAGGGGAAACACCAAGAUCAGGAAGGUGGUUUUUCCAGGCCAAGGCUCAUCCACUGCACUUGGGAUGUGCUGAACCCUGCGAUUUCUCCCAAAUGCAGGAAGCUAGACUAUAUAAAUUGUGGUAGUGGGGGACUCUGUCAGUACUCUCCCCUG
ensembl:snRNA U1 U1 spliceosomal RNA